UGCAAAACACUGCAACACAUUCAUUCAUAUUGCCACCCAAUUCCAUUUAUCAGAAUAUUAGAAGAUUUCCAUCCUGACAAAUUCCAAAAUGGACACUGACCAAAGUCAUACUCAAUUUCAAUUUGAAUUAGAGGGGCUACAACGUUUGCUGGUUCUAUCAGACCCAGAAUUUGAGAACAACCUAUUCACCAGCACACCAUCCGACUCACCAUCCACCAUAUCAACCAACCCAAUUUCGACUUCCACUCUCCCACAAUUCACCCCACCUGUUGACACACCAACCAACAUAUCCCAAAGUCCCAGCACAAUGGACACAACCACAACCUCCACCCAGAUCCAGCCUACAAGUACCCCAAUCCAGUCCCCAAAUGCCAUCCUAACCCCAACCUCAGCCAAAACCACCUUCACCCUAACAUUGCCAGCCGACAUGGGCCAACCCAGCAAUAUCCCAACCACAUCCCAACUAAUCAUACCACAAACCCCCCUAACACACCAAAUCACCACCACCACCACACCUUAACCACCUAUCACUUCCAAUAACACAACCACCAUGUUCAAUAAACUUGUCGAACUCCAUCACCGCAAGAAUGACCAUCAACGACAUUUGACCAUUCUCAACAAACACAUCACAAACCACACCACACCGGCUGGCCUCAACAUCAGCAUUCAACCCUGGGUCCAACUGUCACCAAAGCUCAAGGAAGCAUGGGACACUGGCAUCCAGAACUGCAUGUCCCACCUCACAGACAUCCUGCACCAUGCCAACACCACUCAGAGGAAUCAUCCAAAACUGAUGGGCAAAUCUCAUCACUUUCCACAAAACUGAACGACAAUCUCCCACAGGAGUUGUCUAGCACUAUCAUCCAUAUCGCAAGCACUCACAAACCACCAUCCAAACGCAAAACAACACCAAAGUCAAACACCAAACAUCAACCAAAGCGCCCCAAAACCACAGCAACCACUUCACAUCCCGCGAAACCUGAAAACAAGCAGGUCUCUCAGAAAUGGCCACAUCACCAACAACACAGGGAACCAUCACCUCCCACCUCCAAACCACCAUUAGGAGUACCACCUCCACCCAGCAACACUACACCAUUACACCCGCCAACGACCACAAUACCAGCUCUAACCGGCAUCAUGCAUUCCUCCAUCAAGCAACUACUGUUGGGGAAACAAACACAGUUCCACACCAUAUAAAACAUGUUCAUGAAUGGAAGACAAUAGAUUUUUCCUUCAUUAACAACCACCACCAAUUCAAUGUAAAUAGUCUAGGCCUGUACAUAUGAUAAUCCACACACUUCACAUAGUUUAAUUAAUACACAAUUGUCAAAUAAAGAUAUGCCGUUACAGAAUAUUCAUUAAAUUCAUGAACAUUAUAAAG
rnacentral:lncRNA from 1 species